ACGGUCUUUUUCUUCUUCGGAGGGAGAAGUAACCCGGCGGACGGCUCAGUAACACGUGGACAACUUGCCCUUGGGACCGGGAUAACCCCUGGGAAACUGGGGCUAAUACCGGAUAGAGCAUCGGUUGCUGGAAUGCACGAUGUUCGAAAGCUGAGGCACCCAAGGAUAGGUCUGCGGCCGAUUAGGUUGUUGUUGAUGUGACGGAUCAACAAGCCUACGAUCGGUACGGGUUGUGAGAGCAAUAGCCCGGAGAUGGGUUCUGAGAAAAGAACCCAGGUCCUACGGGACGCAUCAGGCGCGAAAACUUUACAAUGUGCGAAAGCACGAUAAGGGAACUCUGAGUGCCUCCUAAGGAGGCUGUUCAGGUGUCUAAAAAGCAUCUGGAGGAANGGCUGGGUAAGACCGGUGCCAGCCGCCGCGGUAACACCGGCAGCUCAAGUGGUAGCCACGUUUAUUGGGUCUAAAGCGUCCGUAGCCGGCUGAGUAAGU
rnacentral:rRNA from 1 species